rnacentral:rRNA from 1 species
UCCUACGGGGGGCAGCAGUGGGGAAUAUUGCACAAUGGGGGAAACCCUGAUGCAGCGACGCCGCGUGAGUGAAGAAGUAUUUCGGUAUGUAAAGCUCUAUCAGCAGGGAAGAAAAUGACGGUACCUGACUAAGAAGCCCCGGCUAACUACGUGCCAGCAGCCGCGGUAAUACGUAGGGGGCAAGCGUUAUCCGGAUUUACUGGGUGUAAAGGGUGCGUAGACGGAAGAACAAGUUGGUUGUGAAAUCCCUCGGCUCAACUGAGGAACUGCAACCAAAACUAUUCUCCUUGAGUGUCGGAGAGGAA